rnacentral:rRNA from 1 species
GAUGAACGUUGGCGGCGUGCCUAAUACAUGCAAGUCGAACGAAGACUGUAGUAAUACUGUCUUAGUGGCGAACGGGUGAGUAACGCGUGGGUGACCUGCCCCGAAGUGUGGGAUAACAGUUCGAAAGGAUUGCUAAUACUGCAUAAUAUCCAAGAGAUUAGACGCUUUUGGAUUAAAGGAGUAAUUCGCUUCGGGAGGGGCCCGCGUCCCAUCAGCUAGUUGGUAAGGUAAUGGCUUACCAAGGCGAUGACGGGUAGGGGACCUGAGAGGGUGGCCCCCCACAAUGGAACUGAAACACGGUCCAUACACCUACGGGUGGCAGCAGUAGGGAAUAUUAGUAAUAGGGCGAAAGCCUGACGCAGCAACGCCGCGUGCGGGAAGAAGGCCCUCGGGUUGUAAACCGCUUUCAGAAGGAACGAAAAUGACGGUACUUUCAGAAGAAGGUAGCGGCCAACUACGUG